ACGGGAGGCAGCAGUGGGGAAUAUUGCACAAUGGGGGAAACCCUGAUGCAGCGACGCCGCGUGAGUGAAGGAGUAUUUCGGUAUGUAAAGCUCUAUCAGCAGGAAAGAAAAUGACGGUACCUGACUAAGAAGCCCCGGCUAACUACGUGCCAGCAGCCGCGGUAAUACGUAGGGGGCAAGCGUUAUCCGGAUUUACUGGGUGUAAAGGGAGCGUAGACGGUAAGGCAAGUCUGAAGUGAAAUGCCAGGGCUCAACCCUGGAACUGCUUUGGAAACUGUCCUACUAGAGUGCAGGAGAGGUAAGUGGAAUUCCUAGUGUAGCGGUGAAAUGCGUAGAUAUUAGGAGGAACACCAGUGGCGAAGGCGGCUUACUGGACUGUAACUGACGUUGAGGCUCGAAAGCGUGGGGAGCAAACAGGAUUAGAUACCCUGGUA
rnacentral:rRNA from 1 species